rnacentral:rRNA from 1 species
GAUGAACGCUGGCGGCGUGCCUAACACAUGCAAGUCGAGCGGCAGCGCGAGUAGUUUACUACUUGGCGGCGAGCGGCGGACGGCUGAGUAACGCGUGGGAAUUUGCCCCAAAGUGAGGAAUAACUGCCCGAAAGGGUGGCUAAUGCCGCAUAUGAUCUUCGGAUUAAAGGAUUUAUCCGCUUUGGGAGAAGCCCGCGUCGGAUUAGGUAGUUGGUGAGGUAAUGGCUCACCAAGCCGACGAUCCGUAGCUGGUCUGAGAGGAUGACCAGCCAGACUGGAACUGAGACACGGUCCAGACUCCUACGGGAGGCAGCAGUGAGGAAUCUUCCACAAUGGGCGAAAGCCUGAUGGAGCAACGCCGCGUGCAGGAUGAAGGCCUUCGGGUUGUAAACUGCUUUUAUAAGUGAGGAAUAUGACGGUAGCUUAUGAAUA